rnacentral:rRNA from 1 species
UGUCGAGCUUGCUCACAGGCACAUCAUAUCCAUAACACCUGUGCACUUGUCGGAUGGCUUAGUGAAGACCGCAAGGUUGGAUCUAUCCAUCUACUUUACAUAACAAUUCUGUAACAAAUGUAGUCUUAUUAUAACAUAAUAAAACUUUCAACAACGGAUCUCUUGGCUCUCGCAUCGAUGAAGAACGCAGCGAAAUGCGAUAAGUAAUGUGAAUUGCAGAAUUCAGUGAAUCAUCGAAUCUUUGAACGCACCUUGCGCUCCUUGGUAUUCCGAGGAGCAUGCCUGUUUGAGUGUCAUGAAAACCCUCAACCCUAGAUUGGUUAAAACCUUUCUUUGGUUUGGAUUUGGACGUUUGCCGAUGAUAAGUCGGCUCGUCUUAAAAGUAAUAGCUGGAUCUGUCUCGCGACAUGGUUUGACUUGGCGUAAUAAGUAUUUCGCUAAGGACAUCUUCGGAUGGCCGCGUUGCAGGACUAAAGACCGCUUUCUAAUCCAUUGAUCUUACGAUUAAUAUUCUUGACAUCUGGCCUCAAAUCAGGUAGGACUACCCGCUGAACUUAAGCAUAUCAAUAAGCGG